AUUGAACGCUGGCGACAUGCCUUACACAUGCAAGUCGAACGGCAGCACGGGUGCUUGCACCUGGUGGCGAGUGGCGAACGGGUGAGUAAUACAUCGGAACAUGUCCUGUAGUGGGGGAUAGCCCGGCGAAAGCCGGAUUAAUACCGCAUACGAUCUACGGAUGAAAGCGGGGGACCUUCGGGCCUCGCGCUAUAGGGUUGGCCGAUGGCUGAUUAGCUAGUUGGUGGGGUAAAGGCCUACCAAGGCGACGAUCAGUAGCUGGCCUGAGAGGACGACCAGUCACACUGGGACUGAGACACGGCCCAGACUCCUACGGGAGGCAGCAGUGGGGAAUUUUGGACAAUGGGCGAAAGCCUGAUCCAGCAAUGCCGCGUGUGUGAAGAAGGCCUUCGGGUUGUAAAGCACUUUUGUCCGGAAAGAAAUCCUUGGCCCUAAUACGGUCGGGGGAUGACGGUACCGGAAGAAUAAGCACCGGCUAACUACGUG
rnacentral:rRNA from 1 species